rnacentral:rRNA from 1 species
UGCCCCAGUAACGGCGAGUGAAGCGGCAAGAGCUCAAAUUUGAAAGCUGGCUCCUUCGGGGUCCGCAUUGUAAUUUGCAGAGGAUGCUUCGGGAGCGGUCCCCAUCUAAGUGCCCUGGAACGGGACGUCAUAGAGGGUGAGAAUCCCGUAUGGGAUGGGGUGUCCGCGCCCGUGUGAAGCUCCUUCGACGAGUCGAGUUGUUUGGGAAUGCAGCUCUAAAUGGGUGGUAAAUUUCAUCUAAAGCUAAAUAUUGGCCGGA